UAGGGAAUAUUCCACAAUGGACGAAAGUCUGAUGGAGCGACGCCGCGUGAGGGAUGAAGGCCUUCGGGUUGUAAACCUCUUUCGACAGGGACUAAAUGCAUUGCAGUGAAUAAUUGCAGUGUUUGACGGUACCUAGGGAAGAAGCUACGGCUAACUCUGUGCCAGCAGCCGCGGUAAUACAGAGGUAGCAAGCGUUGUCCGGAUUUACUGGGCGUAAAGGGAUUGUAGGUGGCUAUUUAAGUCAGGUGUGAAAUCGUCCCGCUUAACGGGACAAUUGCAUUUGAUACUGAUUGGCUUGAGUGCAGGAGGGGAAACUGGAAUUUCCGGUGUAGCGGUGAAAUGCGUAGAUAUCGGAAAGAACACCGGUGGCGAAGGCGGGUUUCUGGCCUGCAACUGACACUGAGGAUCGAAAGCCAGGGGAGCAAACGGG
rnacentral:rRNA from 1 species